rnacentral:rRNA from 1 species
AACGACGCUGGCGGCAGGCCUAACACAUGCAAGUCGAGCGCGUGUAGCAAUACACGAGCGGCGCACGGGUGAGUAACGCGUGGGAAUCUGCCCUACAGUGGGGAACAACCACGGGAAACUGUGGCUAAUACCGCAUACGUCCUUCGGGAGAAAGGCUUCGGCCGCUGUAGGAGGAGCCCGCGUCCGAUUAGCUAGUUGGUGAGGUAAUGGCUCACCAAGGCGACGAUCGGUAACUGGUCUGAGAGGACGACCAGUCACACUGGGACUGAGACACGGCCCAGACUCCUACGGGAGGCAGCAGUGGGGAGUAUUGGACAAUGGGGGAAACCCUGAUCCAGCCAUGCCGCGUGAGUGAUGAAGGCCUUCGGGUUGUAAAGCUCUUUUAGCGGGGAAGAUAAUGACGGUACCCGCAGAAUAAGCCCCGGCUAACUUCGUGCCAGCAGCCGCGGUAAGACGAAGGGGGCUAGCGUUGUUCGGAAUUACUGGGCGUAAAGGGCGCGCAGGCGGCUUUGCAAGUCAGGCGUUAAAGACCCAGGCUCAACCUGGGGAAUGCGCUUGAUACUGCAGAGCUUGAGAUCGGAAGAGGAGAGUGGAAUUCCCAGUGUAGAGGUGAAAUUCGUAGAUAUUGGGAAGAACACCAGUGGCGAAGGCGGCUCUCUGGUCCGAUUCUGACGC